rnacentral:rRNA from 1 species
GCUCCAUAUCACCAUCCGCUUUCAGAGGUCACGUGCAACAAGUGCCAACAGAAGGGUCACUAUGCCAACAAGUGCUUCAACCAGAGGCGUCUCCCUCCUCCUCCUCCUGUGAGAUCGGCAAGUACAGUUGUGGUCAAGCAUAACCCCAAGCACGCCAAGGUCAACUUGAUGAAUGCAGCUCAGGCAGAGGACUCGUCAGAUGUCAUCAUGGGUAACCUUCCUGUUAACAAUGUUCCUGCAAAAGUUCUUUUUGACACUAGUGCAUCGCAUUGUUUCAUUUCCAAACCUUUUGCAUCAAAGUAUGAGUGCGAUUAUCACUAUCUACAAAAUUCUUUGCAAAUCGUGUCACCGGGCAAGCAUAUGACAGCUAAUUUCUGCGUCUCGGAUAUUACUAUCACGUUGGCCAGGCAGAUUCAAUUGACUCAUUCGUCUGAGGAUGUAAUUGUCUUUGUUGCUCGUGAUGAUACC